GAUGGGCAGGAAUAAUAUUAUAGCACAGAGGUUAAGUGCUCUUUUCUAUUAGAACUCAUUGGGGGCACCUGGCUGGCUCAGUCAGUAGAGCAUGAGACUCUUGACCUUUCGGUUGUAAGUUUGAGGCCUGCGUUGGGUAUAGAGAUUGCUUAAAAAUAAAAUCUUAACAAAAAGAAAAACAAAAAAGAACCCACUGGCAUUUGGCAACAGAUAAUAGAAAAAUCAGCUUCCUAAAGUUUAUUCAAAAGAAGUAUUUUUUUCUUGCAGAACAAAAAGUUCAGAGAAAGACAAGUUGCUGGCAUUGGCUCAACACAUCAAGAAUGUCAGGGUCUAGGUUUCUUGGACUUUUCCUCAUUGAUAAAACAUAGCUGCUACAUCUCCAGUCCUCUCAUCUGUGAUCCAGGGAGGAAGGCCAGGUACAGGAUGGGCAGGUACACUUUAGGACAGGUUUACGGGAAAAAUUAAAUGCACAGAGCACACUUACCCAAUUUGUGAAUCAUACGCAAAACAGAAAGCCACAUGGUGUGGAGAACCUCCAUGCCUGCCUUUUAGCAGAUGUUCCUGGGGAAUGCCAAUACAACCCAGGAUUCCUUGGAAAGUGAGAUGACUGAAAUUAACCUAAGAGGUUCCCCAGAGUGAAAGGCUCAGGGACAGCCCUCUCCCUCAAAUGCCCAGCUUUGUCACUAUGAAGACUGUUUGUAGUGAACAGCCAGUCGACAAGAGGCAAUUAUUAUGAGACUAUGGCAGUGAUUUGGAACACGAGCUUACAGGGAGGUCUUUGUUCUUGAAAACAUACAGCUUGUUGAAAUCGUAUUUCAGUCAUCAAGAUACUGGAAGUCUUCUCACGUCCUCUCCCAGGGACAGGCCUACCUAGUGUGGUCUUCACUGGAGUCCUCUUGAGAAAAAUGAUGUAUCUCCUACAGCCUCUUCAUUCUUCAAAAUGAACAUGAGAAUCAAUACACUAAUCAAGAACAAAGGUUCUUGGACAGACUUGCAUCUAAAUUCCAACUCUACUGUUAAAAACCAUGGGACUUUAACCUAAAUGUAAGACAGUAAGCCAUGAAAAUCCUCAAGGAGAAAGCAGGCAAAAACCUCUUUGAUCUUGGCCGCAGCAACUUCUUACUCAACACGUCUCCAGAG